UGCAGCAAAGAGCUCCCUCCACAUAUCUGGACCCCCUGCAGCAGCUCCUAGGAACAGCCCCACUCCAAGAAAAUGCCAACCCCUGAAGAACCUGUCCCUUUGGAACAAUGGAUCACCAGUGACCUUGAACGCGAGUGACCUUGAACUUGACUGAACACCUCUGUGUCACAGUCUCCAGGCCUCAACCCCACGAGGCCAGACUUCCUGCAGAUCAGCUGCUUGGGAUUCAGAGCCACAGCCCUCCCCAGCUGGGCUUCUCCCGCCUAGCGCUGCAGAUACAGCAGGCCUGGUUCUCCUCCACUCGCACCAGAGCUUACAGGCCUCAUUCCCUCCAACCUGUAUGCAUGGAAAGGGGGAGGCCACUUUACUUAAACCCUCCAGGGAAGCGCAUGAAGCAGGUGUCCAUUCAGCCACGCCUGGAAGGCUGCCAGCCAAUGACAGAUGUCAUCCUGUAGGACCCACCAGGCCAAGGUGUUAAUGGCGGGAAGGUCCUCAUCACGUGCCGGUACCGUGAUGGUCUUCCCAGCCGCCCAAACAGCACCCCAUGCUCUCCUGACAUCAUGGCCCUGAACCCCCCUCCCCUGCUGCAUGUUCCCUGGUCCACGAGCUGCACCGUGCAUGCGUGGUGCCUAAAGCACAGAAGGUGCUUCCGCCAUGCUUAAGAAAGGAUUGGCAGGCCACACCCAGAGCCCACGCCUGUGUAGAGCACACUUUUGGUUCCCUGCGGGGGCGAUUUUGCCCCCACGAACAUUUGGCAAUCUCUGAAGACACUUUUGGUUGUCACGUCUUGGGAGCAGGGGACUGCUGGCAACUGAAGGUCACGAACACUGCAAAAUAUCCUCCAGCUUACAGGACAGCCCCACAGCCAGGGAAGACGAAUCCCCAAAUGUCGACAGUAUCAAGGGUGAGAAAUCUCUUCGGGGAAGGAAUCCGCCUUCCCAGGCACUCCCUCACAGCCUCCCACCAAUGCUGUCACUUCCCAAAUCAUCCUCGCCCCUCCUCCCCGAUGGCCCUGGUUGUGUUUUGCAAAACACCAAAUGAUUCACAUCUGUAAACCGUGAGCCCUUCACAGAUAGAAAGACUGACCCUGUUCCCAGACCCGAGUUCAUGGAAACAUUUCCCCCAAGAAUUAAUUUGAAAAAAAAAAAUUAAAUGUUAACAAAUAAGUAAAGGCAAGGAACAGUGAGCUAGUAAUAA